AUACGUAGGGUGCGAGCGUUGUCCGGAAUUACUGGGCGUAAAGAGCUUGUAGGUGGUUUGUCGCGUCGUCUGUGAAAUUCCGGGGCUUAACUCCGGGCGUGCAGGCGAUACGGGCAUAACUUGAGUACUGUAGGGGAGACUGGAAUUCCUGGUGUAGCGGUGAAAUGCGCAGAUAUCAGGAGGAACACCGGUGGCGAAGGCGGGUCUCUGGGCAGUAACUGACGCUGAGGAGCGAAAGCAUGGGUAGCGAACAGGAUUAGAUACCCUGGUAGUCCAUGCCGUAAACGGUGGGCGCUAGGUGUAGGGGUCUUCCACGACUUCUGUGCCGUAGCUAACGCAUUAAGCGCCCCGCCUGGGGAGUACGGCCGCAAGGCUAAAACUCAAAGGAAUUGACGGGG
rnacentral:rRNA from 1 species